UUUUGUUUUUGUUUUUUCUUUUUUUGAAAGUCUGGUUUUAUUUGAACGUAGUCCCCACUUGACAAUAUCUGCCAACAGCUUUGAGACUAUCAACAUUUUUUUCCUCCUCCCUUUCAUGUAUUCAUUCAACAAGUAUUUCUUGAGAGCCUGGUACUGCUGUUAGCACGGGGGCAUACUGCUAGGACAGAAUGGGAGUUCCCAUUGUGGCACAGCAGAAAUGAAUCUGACUAGGAACCAUAAGGUUGUGGGUUCAAUCCCUGGCCUCGAUCAGUGGUUAAGGAUGCAGCGUUGCCAUGAGCUGUGGUGUAGGUUGCAAUGAGGCUUGGAUCUGGCAUUGCUGUGACUGUGGGGGAGGCCGGCAGCUGUAGCUCUGAUUAGACUCCUAGCCUGGGAACCUCCAUAUGUUGUAGGUGCAGCCCUAAAAAAAAAAAAAAAAGACAAAAGACAAAUAAAUAAAUAAGUAAUAAAAUAAAAUAAAAUUGCAUGUAGGGAAAGGGCUGACUUUGGUCUGGAAGGGCCACUCCGAGGAAGUGACAUUUAAGCCAAAACUUGAAGACUGAAAAGAAACCCCCCAUGCAUGACAGACAUGGAGGUGGGGUGAGCAGUAUAUUGGGCAGAGAGACAAGCAAGUUCCAAGAAGCAGGAACACCUGUCCUUGAGGACAUAAAGUUGGCCACAGUUCCUGGAACAUAGGGGAUGAUAUAUAGAAGGGACUCAAGAGAUAUUUAGAGGCAAAUAGUGAGAAACUUCAUUUAAUCAGAAAGGACAUAUAUGCUGCAACACUGAAGUGUGGAAGGUGGGGUGGAAACCGGAUGUGGCAAAUGCUAUGAGAUAGGCGAUUGUUUCCAAUCUCUCGGGCUGUGCUGUUUCCACUUGCUUUCCCAACCCCUCCCGUGUCCCUGCCCUGGCAGCUAGAAACAUCUGAGACCCGGUUCUAGCCUCUGAUCCUAAGCAGAAAUCUGCUAGAAGCUUCCCAGGGAAGUUUGUUUUCCUGAUAAAGAGAAUGAAACUGCAGCAUCUUUCUUUUUGCCUUUAACUUGGAUGUGAUGCCUGGGGCUGCAGCAACCAUUUUGUAACUUGGAGGGAAGGAAAAAGAAUCACAAAGACAGACAAGCCAUUUAUCCUCACUUCCCUCCAGAUUUGGCUUAUAUGUGAAUAAUGGUCCCCAUUUAUUUAAGAUACAGCUACUUGGGUUUUCUAUUAUUUGUUGUCAAAAGCAUCCCUGGGCUGGUACAGAAGUAAGGAAUUGGGGUUGGAGAGACGUGAAUAACGGUAUGGGUGAAUCUGAGUUCAAACACAGCAGAGCCUUGAUAUUCGGAGCACCAGGUGUGGAAGAGGCAUCCUUAAUGGUAAAGGGAACCUACUCCUUGCUUGCCCAUCUCUGUCUCAAGUUCCAUAUUUAUCUAGAAGGGCUACGGGGAAGUGAAUCAUGAUCGACACAGAUCCUUUUUUAUCUUGUGAUCCUUAUUUCCACCAAAAGCCAGUUUGGUGGACUCGUGUAACCACCCAAGAAAGACUGCUUUCUGGGGUGAAAUUCAUGUGUUCAUUGAACCAAGAUGGAGACAGAGUCAAAGGUGUUAAAGAGUGAGAGAAAGUUUUUUAGCUCGAGCCCUGAAGAGGCCCUCGUGCUGUAUCCCCUGGGUUUCCAGGGUUUGAGGUACAUGGAAACGAUAAAUGUUUUGUGGAACAAGAAAGAAAAACUAUGAGGAUGUGCCAGUUCUUUGCACAAUGUUAGAAGAAGAAAGGAAAAAGAACAUUUAUUCAGUGUUUUGUGUUCUCCCAAGAGGCCCACAUAAAUCCUUGUUAAGCGAAGGAAUGCAUUGAAAUAGAAAUCAUACAAUGGCCACAAACUUGAGAUUUCCUGGAGCUGAGGCCUCAGAAAUGUGAUGGUUGAAAGCACAAACCACAUGGAUGGGAUGAAUACGGGAGCCCUGGGCUCCUAGAAUCCAACAUCAGAGCCACCCCGAUUCUGCCCUCUUAAUCCAGUCCCAGCUGAGGUCAAGGUCCAUUUGGGCCAAGAGAAGCCACCAGGCCCCAGGGGAAGGAACCAGCGCUGCUGUUCAGAGGCCGAAUGCACAGCUCUCUGCUUGUGGUGCACUGAUAUUCAAUCAACAAACAUUUGUUGAAGACCUAUUAUGUGUCCAUACUGUCUUGGGUGCUGAAAAUCAUCUGAGAGCAAAAGCUUAUUAACAUAAAAGAUGACUGUCAAGGUAGCUGCCAGACCUGAGAAUCAAGGACAUCAUAAAGGGGAGUUCCUGUUGUGGCUCAGCCGGUUAAGAACCUGACUAGUAUCCAUGAGGAUACAGGUUCGAUCCCUGGCCUCGCUCAGUGGGUUAAGGAUCUGAUGUUGCUCUGAGCUGUGGUGUAGGUCGCAGAUAAGGCUCAGCUUUCUGGUCGCUGUGGCUGUGGCAUAGGCUGGCAGCUGCAGCUUGAUUUGACCCCUAGCCUGAACUUCCAUAUGCUUCACUCUCAGCC
rnacentral:lncRNA from 1 species